GACUUUGAGAGCGGCGUACGGGUGCGUAACACGUGUGCAACCUACCUUUAUCUGGGGAAUAGCCUUUCGAAAGGAAGAUUAACACCCCAUAAUAUAAUGAUUGGCAUCAAUUAUUAUUGAAAACUCCGGUGGAUAGAGAUGGGCACGCGCAAGAUUAGAUAGUUGGUGAGGUAACGGCUCACCAAGUCUGUGAUCUUUAGGGGUCCUGAGAGGGAGAUCCCCCACACUGGUACUGAGACACGGACCAGACUCCUACGGGAGGCAGCAGUGAGGAAUAUUGGACAAUGGGUGAAAGCCUGAUCCAGCCAUCCCGCGUGAAGGAUGACGGUCCUAUGGAUUGUAAACUUCUUUUGUACAGGAAUAAACCUACUCUCGUGAGAGUAGCUGAAGGUACUGUACGAAUAAGCACCGGCUAACUCCGUGCCAGCAGCCGCGGUAAUACGGAGGGUGCAAGCGUUAUCCGGAUUUAUUGGGUUUAAAGGGUCCGUAGGCGGGCCUGUAAGUCAGUGGUGAAAUCUCAUAGCUUAACUAUGAAACUGCCAUUGAUACUGCAGGUCUUGAGUAAAUUUGAAGUGGCUGGAAUAAGUAGUGUAGC
rnacentral:rRNA from 1 species